rnacentral:RNase_P_RNA from 2 species
AUUUUGAAUCAACUGCUAUAUUUGAAAAAUAAUAUAGAGGAAACUCCACGCUUGUACAUUCUGAGAUGAAUGUAGUGAUUGUGCUAGAGAAAAAAAUAACUCUAGGUAUCAUAUAAUGAUAACGACUUGAGUCAAAUCUAAGGAAUAUUUAUUCUAUGAUAAAACUCUUUAAAGUGCCACAGAGACGAGUAACUAGAAAUAGGGAACUGGAACGGGUAAACUCCACAAGCAAGAAACCCAAAUUUGGUAGGGGAACUAGAAAAUCAGAAAAUGAACUGAAUUUUUUGGAUCACAUAAGUGAUAGAUAGAUAGUUGAUGCACAUUUAAUUGUGUUACAGAACGUGGGUUAUGAUA